UUUUUAGUGUAGAAUGGGAGUGGUAUGAAGGAAGUUUGCUGCUGAAUUAUUAAAGGAGUGAAUUUGGUAGCUAAUCUUGAAUAUCUAGUCCUCUAUGCCAUGUGAAAGCCUUGAGAGAGAAUAGGUAAAGUUGUGGCUGAUUGACAGCUUGUUUGUUCCCACACGCAUGCCUUUCCUUUUCUUUCUUGUUGCUGCCGUAAUAAUAGGAAUGUAGGGAGUAGGCUAGGAAUUGAGUGAUGUUUGUAAUAGAUAGUGUAGAGUUG
rnacentral:lncRNA from 1 species